rnacentral:rRNA from 1 species
GCAGAGCAUCCUACGGGAGGCAGCAGUGGGGAAUAUUGCUACAAUGGGCGCAAGCCUGAUGCAGCCAUGCCGCGUGUAUGAAGAAGGCCUUCGGGUUGUAAAGUACUUUCAGCAGUGAGGAAGGUGGAUAUGUUAAUAGCAUAUUCAUUUGACGUUAGCUGCAGAAGAAGCACCGGCUAACUCCGUGCCAGCAGCCGCGGUAAUACGGAGGGUGCGAGCGUUAAUCGGAAUUACUGGGCGUAAAGCGCAUGCAGGUGGUUUGUUAAGUCAGAUGUGAAAGCCCGGGGCUCAACCUCGGAAUUGCAUUUGAAACUGGCAAACUAGAGUACUGUAGAGGGGGUAGAAUUUCAGGUGUAGCGGUGAAAUGCGUAGAGAUCUGAAGGAAUACCGGUGGCGAAGGCGGCCCCCUGGACAGAUACUGACACUCAGAUGCGAAAGCGUGGGGAGCAAACAGGAUUAGAUACCCUGGUAG